CAACCAAGAUGUUUCCAAGGAGACCAGUUAUUCCAAUGCACCUAUUUUCCACGUGGCUGAACAAAUUUCUGUGGUAGCCAAUGGAUCCAAAAAGGAGCAAAUUUCCCAGGAAUAUGCUUCAACAUCUACCUCCAGUUGCCAGAUUGACCUGUGGAAGUGAAAGUUUAUAAAUAUAUAUACAUAUAUAUAUAGUAACUAAAAGAUAUAUGAUGCAUAAUACUAAUUAUAGGAAGUGCGUAUAAGUGAACCUUGGAAAAAAAGACAAUAGUGUUUCUACUGGUUAUUGUACAUAAUAAACCCAGAUGUUUUAUAUAUCAUUAGUUGUUGAACCUCUGGAAGCUGGAGUAUAGACUGCAAUGCAUCCAUUAAUUAGUUGCAAUUCAUCUCUCCUAUAUAUAGCAAACAAUAGUGCUUGAAGGUCAACUCUACUCUUUACGGAAGAAAGUGAUCCAUGGUGGGAAGAUUUCUGUGCAUUAAUAUUAAAAGUUAUGUGUUCACUACAGCUUAAUUUUGCAUUUAUGAAAGUUAUAUAUGUAUUCAGUUUGUUCUUGAAAAUAGGGUAUUACUUGGAUCUAUCAGAAUCCAGAAGUGUGAGAAUGGAGGUAUGAAGAUUUGAGAAUCUAAACUAUGCAUGCUUCUGUUAUAUACACACACGUUGUCCACUGUGCUAGUUUAGAAUUGACUGUAAUAUGUCUUUUUCUCCAGAUCAAAUAUAUUUAUUUGAAGCCUUAUUACCACCUCAUCAAAGAGGUUAAAUUAAACACAAAGAAUAAAAAAGGAAACAAAUAGAUUUUAUUGGCUAAGAUCUUACUUUUGUUUCGUUAGAAAAGUUGACAUCUAUUCUUUCAUAUCUGCGCUUUUGUAGGAAAGACUUCGUAAAAUAGAGUGAUGAUAUCUAAAAUUACUGAAACGAGAUAAAUAUAGCCUGCAAAAACUCGUAUUGGAUUGUAUUAUUUUGUAAGAGCUAUACCAUUAUUAUUAUUAUUAUACACUUUUAGACCUUUCUAUAGCUUUUAUUUUCCUCUUAGUUGGGUUGCCCGGGUUUGACCCUAUCUGUGUUUCUCAGGGAUCCAUUUCAAUUUCUUUCUGUUCUAUUUUGAUAAUAAGGAAGUCAAGGACAAAGAUGAUCUUUUGAGAUCAUCUUACCACUGUAAUCAUUGAGAUAGCAAAUGUUUUUUACCUAAACUCUCGAUUAUCACUCGCCAAUAAAGUAAGAUUACUUGUUAAUGGAGUCAUUCUAUUAGGAGUCAAGCUUAUAUAUUAUCUUUCUGAGGAUACGACCAAUCCGGUACCUAAACGCCAAAAACACAUUGUGUGAAAACCUUCAAUGGCCUACAUUUUCGAUUAAAUACAUCCCAAAGCCUCAAUUCUUCUUUUACAUUGGAGUAGUUAGUUUAAAAGGAUAGAUAAAUGGGAUGAUUCUAUUCUAACUUUUUUUUCGCAUCAUUUCUUAUUCUUCAAGUGAGGGAUAGGACAGAAAAAAGAUAGAAUGAAAUAGGAUGAGUGAUGUGAAGGAAAAAAAGAGUUUAACACUAAAAUUAGUUGGUGAUGAGUAUAAUAGAUAGGUAGUGAUAUAAAUUUGUGAUGUGUAGAAUCUAAAAUUAGUCUAGUUACUCAAUUUAAAAAUUAAUUUAUAAGUUUUAUUAAUAGUAUAAACGGUUUUAGAUACGAAUAUUUUUUUUAAAUCUUUAAAAUAAUAUUUAAUUUAAUUAAUAUAAUAAAUAAUUAUUUUUUAUCUAAAAUUGAAUUUUAUUUAAUGAUUCUAUCCUAUUGUAAGUUGGUAGCAUAUUAUUCAAGAAUGGUUGGAAGUACCAAACUCUUUUUUUCCAAUAUUAAUGGGAUAGUUUAUUUUUCAAAAUUACGAGUACCAUAUAUUUUUUUUAAAAAUAUCAAUUAAGAAAUUAGUUUAUAAAUUUUUAUUAAUAAUAAAAAAUAUUUUAGAUAUUAAUAAUUUUUUAAUCUAUAAAAUAAUAUUUAACUAUUUUUUUUAUAAAAUUAAUUUUUAUUUAAUGAUUAUGUAGUAAUAUUUAGUCAACUCAACUUUCUUAGAAGAAAAAUUUAAUAAUUCAAAACUAUCUAAAAAAGGUUGUGAAAAAUUAAAUGCCAUACAAUAAAAAAAAAUUAAAGCAUAAUCGAAUUUCAGAAUUCAUUAUGUGUAGAUUACCUUUUGACAAUUCUAAAAAUAAGCAAUUCCUAUGUUUCAGAUUUUUAUUGCGAACAAGCUAACUGAAAAUAAUAAAUACAGUUAUACACUUGUAGUGUCUCCACUCAGAAAACGUAUGUUAAGUUGGUUAAGUUAACCAUAUUAUAGUAAUUUUUUAUUAGUUUACAGUAAAAAAGCUUCACGCUAGUAAUUUAGAAAAACUAAAGAAGAUGUUCCAUGCAUACUUUCACACUAGUAUAUAGAUGUGCUGAUAAAAAAAAUAAAAAAAUAAAAAAAAACUAGUAUAUAGAUGCUCAUAGUCACAGUCACAGUGAGUAAGAAAAAAAAAACAGAGAAUGUCCUGAAAAAUGUGAUAAAAAUAAAGAAAUAGUGUCAAUCAAAUGUUUCUCUAGUAUGUCAAAAAAUCAAAGCCAUAGCUAAAAAUGAACUGAACUGUAACAGUUAGCGGAGAUCCAAUAUGAUCCAACAGGUCGCUAAUGAGAGCGUUAAGAACACAGUCUGCUAUACCAAACUGUUAUGGCAUUGAUAGAAUUCCGAGUUUAACUGCAUAGUUGAAUGCAAAAUAAAACGAAGAUACGAUCAUAUCAAGGUCUGGGACAUAUACUACAGGAACUCCUCAAUCCAAAAAAUGCCGUUUUAUAUCAAACAAAUAUUACCUUCACUAAGAGACAUGUUUGGCUCCAUUCACUGGGCAUGAUAGCUGUGUAUAUACGAAGAUGGCUCCUCAGCUUCUCUGCCAAAACACUCCUCCAUCUAACACAUGCGUUUUCUCUGCAUAACGUGCCACUUUGAGUAACUGCAAGCUGUCAGACAAGUCUCAAAAUGUUUCAACAUAUAUAACAGGUCGCAAGAAGAGGAGUUUCACCAAGAGUGACGUGAGUUUUCAAAA
rnacentral:lncRNA from 1 species